GGCCCACAAUUUAUGUCACCACUUCCAGGUCAGCUGUUCCCAUUUUGUGAUGCUGCAAGUGACCCUUCGGUGUCUGGGAAUGCAUUUUUCUGGUGUAUCAGUUCCUCUAGAGAAGGAUCGUCUAUCCAUUGGUUUGGGAUUUCCCCAUUUGUGGGCGUUCUGGAGCCAGGAAGGAGCAGAGGGCGAGCUGUCUCAUCUGUCAGUGUGCAAGCCUUCCUUCAAUUCCCUUACAUCCAGUCCUGGACCCUCCACCACCACCUCCUCAAUACCUGCCAACUGUGAGGAAAGUGAGGUCUGGAUAAAGUAAGUGAUUUAUUCAACAGCUCUUCUGAGAAAAUUAGUGGCAGAGCAAGGUCAUGUGCCCACAACCGCUUUUAUGAUUCUACUUUAUCACUUACUUGGAUGUUUUGAGGAACAAAAGAUCACCUUUGACCCACACCUGGAACCCUGAUCUCUGAUCUCUGAUCUCCUACUUUUGGAAUCAACCCACUCCGAGAUGCAGAGCCCAGACUUCUUAAAGCUCUGUGGUCUAUGGAUUCACCAUACUCUAAGUGUUGGUUUCCCACUUCCGUCCCUCCCCCCUGGAUACUGACUGCCUCUAGAUCCAACCUGGGUGUGUAUAUGGGAUAUAUACCAUGAUGGAUCCUGAAGAA